UUGCUUCCUGGCAGAGGAGACACCUUGAUCAUGAAGGAGGUUUUCCCAGGUGANGCUCAGUCAUUGCACUCCAGGGUUGUGUUCAGACAUAACAAAAGGGGUGACUUGGAGGUGCCUCAUAGAGACACUGUGUGGCACUUGUGUCCCCANGUC
rnacentral:snRNA from 1 species